GUUUCCUGGAGCCCUUUGUUGUCUAUUGACUUGUCCAGGUUCUUGAUAAAAAUGUUAGCAGAUCCGCUCUUGCGGGUGCUAGGAUCACGGUUUGAAAACAUUAUCCGGAUAGGCUUAUCAUUGAGGGGAGCAUAGUUCAGCUGUUCCAAUGCCCUUGCAGCCUCCACCGCACUGCUGAAGUUGACGUAAGCAUAUCCGAGCGAUCGCCGCGAGUUCACAUCCCGGCAGACGCGCACCGACACCACCUGCCCCACCUGACUGAACAGCUCGAACAGCUGCGCGUCGGUCACGUUCACCUCCAGGUCCCCCACGUACAGCGACGUCGACGGCGCCUGC
rnacentral:misc_RNA from 1 species